rnacentral:rRNA from 1 species
UACGUAGGGGGCAAGCGUUGUCCGGAUUUAUUGGGCGUAAAGAGCUCGUAGGCGGUUGGGCAAGUCACGUGUGAAAUCUCCACGCUCAACGUGGAGGCGCCACGUGAGACUGCCCUGACUCGAGUCCGGUAGGGGAGCGUGGAAUUCCAGGUGGAGCGGUGAAAUGCGUACAUAUCUGGAGGAACGCCGGCGGCGAAAGCGACUCUCUGGUCUGUAACUGACGCUGAGGUGCGAAAGCUAGGGGAGCAAACGGG